CUGACAGUCCGGUUCCCGUACGAUUACCGUAGUUAAGCCACGUCGAGUCUGGUCUGUAUCUAGAUGGGUGACCGUUUGGGAAUACUAAGUGCUGUAAG